rnacentral:rRNA from 1 species
CCUACGGGAGGCAGCAGUGGGGAAUAUUGGACAAUGGGGGCAACCCUGAUCCAGCCAUGCCGCGUGUGUGAAGAAGGCCCUCGGGUUGUAAAGCACUUUCAGUGAGGAAGAACGCCUGGUGGUUAAUACCCAUCAGGAAAGACAUCACUCACAGAAGAAGCACCGGCUAACUCCGUGCCAGCAGCCGCGGUAAUACGGAGGGUGCGAGCGUUAAUCGGAAUUACUGGGCGUAAAGCGCGCGUAGGUGGCUUGAUAAGCCGGUUGUGAAAGCCCCGGGCUCAACCUGGGAACGGCAUCCGGAACUGUCAAGCUAGAGUGCAGGAGAGGAAGGUAGAAUUCCCGGUGUAGCGGUGAAAUGCGUAGAGAUCGGGAGGAAUACCAGUGGCGAAGGCGGCCUUCUGGACUGACACUGACGCUGAGGUGCGAAAGCGUGGGUAGCAAACAGGAUUAGAUACCCGGGUAGUC